rnacentral:ncRNA from 2 species
UUACCGAUUCGACGAACAAGUGACGGCACUGCCGUCAGGGAAGUGAGGUGAGAACCCUCCGCAGCCCCCGCUGCUGUGAAGCCGACGACCCUGUUAUGCACCACUGAACCUGCGGGUUUGGGAAGGAACAGGGAAGAGUGACGCUAAGCCAGAAGACCGACUUGUUCGCCUGACAUCAA